ensembl:snoRNA
AUCUUUUUGUAGUUCAUGAGUGUAAUGACUGGGUGUUCGCCCACAUGUGUGUGAUUUGCUACCCUUGAACCUUGUUAUGAUGUCAGCACAUUACUGGCCUGACC